GGGGUUGUGGCUCAGCGGUAGAGUGCUCACCUAGCAUGUGGGGGGUCCUGGGUUCAAUCCUCAGUACCA
rfam:Ictidomys tridecemlineatus contig084341, whole genome shotgun sequence.